rnacentral:misc_RNA from 1 species
UUGAAUUUAAUGUGGAGUUGGUUGUAGCUGGCCCGAUUGAAUAAUUUGGGCAUGUGCACACCAUCUCUUUCAUCCACACACACCUGUGCACCUGUGAGACAGAAGUGGGACUUUUAAUUUAAUUUAAUUGGACCCUCUGUCUACUCAAUCCACACAAACUCAAUUUAUUUUAAAAUGAAUGUAACUGGAUGUAACACAUCUAAUAC